rnacentral:lncRNA from 1 species
GCCAGCGCCGGCGGGACCCGAGCUGCUAAUGCCUCCAAUCAACAGAUCAGACAGCUUGUACUCACAGGCCAAGGACACGUGGAAAGAGGCUCAAUUUUCUAGAUGGGUGGCAACAGCCAUGAUCUUCUGUCCUCUGGGUCCCCACAAGCCUGGAUGAACUCAAGAUCUGACUCAGUGGCACAGUGAGGAGACCUUUGAGGCCUCAGUGACCAUCCUUGGACUUCACCUCUCACGGCUUUCAGGCAGAGAGGCCCUCCCAUGCCCACAACAGGCUGAGCCCAGCCUUCCUCGGGGUUUGCUUCCAGGCCUGACUUUUACUCCCCUUUCUAAGUGAGGCAGCCAUGACUGGCCACUUCAUGUGCUCCUGGAGAAGGGCUUGCACCAGCCGUUUUCAGGAAAGUCAAGCAGCUGUUGACUCCUGAGUCUGGGUGAAUUUGUGUGAAGAGCAUAAGGCGCUGUUUCUUAACCAAAACGCUUCCUCUUGCAGUGCAGAUGGGAUGUGCUUCUCCACAGGAGGCCCCACGGCUUCCCCACCCCUCAGAGGAGCGCCGUGCGUGCGUCUGUGUGGAGGAUUGGCAGCUCCUGCAGUCGGCCCUUGGUCCUAUUUGGCGACGCCUCUGCCUUCCCCUUAAUUAUACAGUCAUGAGCCGCCCUGGAAUCACGGCAGCUCCGGAUGGAUCCUGGAUGCCAGAAUGCAGCCUCAGCACGGGGCUGCAGGACAGGAGUGAGCGAGGGGCUGCAGAGCCGGCGGCCGCGGUGGGCACCAUGGAGGGGGCUGCCCUGGGCAGCACGGGCAUGAGUCUCAAGGCCCAGGUUUGAGUAACAGGUGUUGAGAGCUUACUUACUUUUCCUGAGACACAGUUUCCUCAUCUCGAGAGCACGGAAAAUCAUUCUAACUUCAGAGGAUUGUUGUGAAAGUUAAAUGAGAUUAAAGAGGUAAAGCCCAUGACGUGCUUAGCUCGUGCUUGGCUCUUGGUCAAUGCCAGUUAGCGCUGCAUUUUCUCCCCUCUCCCUCCCUCCUUCUCUCUUUCUUUUCUUCUAUUCUCCAUUCCUGUUUUCUCCCCCACCCCACUCCCCAAAGCUCUGCGUUGAGAACCAGAUGCUGUCUGGUGGGUUAGGGCCAGAGGAGGAAAAGCUGCCCGCCGUGGGCUGCACCCAUACCCUCUUCAUUCCAAUGACAUGAGGGGAGGGGAAAGGACAGAGGUAGACUGUCCUCCCCUACCUCCUCCUAAUACAAAUGGAAUUCCUGGAACUGGAAAACAAAGAAUACCCCCAUAAAAAUAAGACAGUACUUCUGGUGCGGUGUAAUAAAGGGGAAAGUAACCCUCAAUGUCAGGAAACUCCGCACCUCCCAGCUCAUAUUUGUGUGGAGGAAAAGUUAAAUAUUAAUUUGGACUCAACUGAAUGUGGACACAAACAAUGGUCACCAAGUCCCGGAACAGGUUGUGUGAGCCUCUUCAGGGGUUCAUCCAGCGCUGUUUUGGAGAAAUCUCUAUUUCAAUUUAUUCCUAUACGUUAGUUACUGAAAAACAACAGACAAUCGCAAAAGCAAGUUGCCCGUUUUGUGUUCCUUGAGCCCAAUCAUGAAGUGCCGUCGUGACUGGGCCUCAUGACAAACAACUUGUAACAAGUAACAACAGAGCUCAGGUCCCAGACCGCACUGAAGCUCUGUGAGACCUCUCCUCAUCUGUGCAUGAACGAGUGUCUGACUCUGGAGCCCAGCCUGCUGCUUCCCAGUCUGGUGGUGAAUCCUCCGUAGUCUGAUGGAGGUUUGCUCUUGUUGCCCAGGCUGGAGUGCAAUGGCACAAUCUCGGCUCACUGCAGCCCCUGCCUCCCAGGCUCAAGCAAUUCUUACGCCUCAGCCUCCUGAGUAGAUGGAACUACAGAUGCUAAAAUUGACACCAAAAGCGUAGGUGAUGAGCUUGAAUCAGGUAAGAAUUAUAUUCUACUUCCAGCUAAAGAAGAGGAUAUAGAAGAUCAAUAGCUUAAACAAAACAGAAGGUUUGUUUCUCACCCUUCCUGUAAUAGAAAUCUGGCAAUGAGCAAACAUGGUAGUAUUUAUAUUCUGAGUUCUUGUCACAUUAUUUUCAUUUUCAGGUCUUCUCAUGGACUAAAACAGUGACAGUGAGUGCAACUCUACCUAUCAUGUUCAUAUUCUAGGUAGAAACUGGGGAAAAGAGAAAAGGCGGGAAAAAGGCGUUUCUCUACAAAGAUCACACAUAAUCUUCUGUCUGCAUCUCAUUGGUCGGCAUUUAGUCACAUGGCCAUAACUACCAGCAAGGGAAGCUGGGAAAUGUAGUUUUUCAAUGGCACAUUGCUACCCUUAAUAAAAUAAGGAUAUGCUACCAACAAAGAAUGAAUAUGGGAAAGGCCCCUAGCAAUGUCUGCUGCAUCUGCCACUGUGGUUUUCUCUGAUUUCCACAGACAUUGCUCUUCCACAUAGAGCGCAUUCUGAUUCCCAAGCCACCACUCCCAAAUCACACCCAGUUUCUGCAUCUAGCUUGUGUGUGGGCAGUCUGCUCCAUCAGUCCCAGAUGUGGCUUCUCAUGGCUGGUGACCUAUGAACUAAAAGACAGGCCAUUUUUUUCCCAACCUACCCUACCUUUUCUCCUUGAGAGGAAAGAUAAAAUAACCACAAUUUAAAAAUGUCAAUCUUCCAUUCAGAAAAGGGAGGAAAGAGAAACACAGAGAUCACUGGUUUACAGUGAUGGACCCACCCUGCUAGGCAGGAGUGAAAAGGCCUCUCCGUCCGGCAGUGGACUGGGUUCCUUGGCUGGCCCAUGUGGUCCCCACCCACUGUCUCCAGGAGCAUCGCCUUGAACUGUGUCUUCAUGGCUUUUGGCUCCGCCUUCAGAAGGGUCCUCCCUGUCAAUCAUCCUCCAUUGCCACCUCUGAUGUGGGCACUAGGGAGCUGGUCCUUCCCAGAGGAUGCAUGAUUUUGACACCGUGCAGUGUGGGAUGUUGGACCAGGGAAUCCAGCAUAUUUUCGGGCUUUUGUAGUCUCAGACUGGGCCUGAGAUUUCUUUAGAAAUAUAUUAACGGUUCCUUCAACACUCCAAUGGGCAUAUAGCCUAUUUACUUCUGAUCAUUGUAAUGUGCAAAUAACCACAGCCCCAUUUCUUUGUGUCCAGAUGCAGUUUUUAGGCUUGAAUAUUCAUCUGUUUUACUCACUGGCCUCUGUCACUGAGUCUGUCCCCUUAGCUAUUAAAUUAAUGGUGACUAUGAUAACACUUUUCACCCGAUCCUUGCUAGUGCAUUGACUUGCGUUGUCUGCAUCGAGUUCUUAAAAGAUGCUUGGUAAAGUCUUGGGUCACAGUUUUAACUUCUGCUGGGGUUCCUGCUCCACAGCCCUCAUUUAGAACUGUUUCACUUUGGCUAUUGUUUAGCUUUGGGCCAUAUUUGGCUGUUUUUUAGCUUUGUAAAAAUGCUCAUUUAACGGACACAAGGCCUGGGUUAGAAAAUGUAGUAUUUCCUUCCCCCUCUGUUUGCGUAGGAGCUAGCGCUAGUGGAAGCCCAUCUCUCCCUUGCAGGAUUUUGUGGAAAGUGACGAAAAUAACUCAAACCACAUCAGUGUUCUGCUUGAUUUCCACCAUUCUUGGAUGCUAUAACUUCAGAAAGCACAUGAUCUAACUUCCCAAGGGACAGCAGGGCCUCGACCAAAUGCCGUUGUGCUGAGGGCUGCCGGCCGCCCCGCUAGGCUGCUGCACCCUCCCCGCGCUGCCCCACACCUUGCACAGAGCUCAGGCAGCAUUCUAGCACCAUCAGACAAAUUCUUCAUGAGUCAGAAAUCGCACCUGUCUCUUAAUAGCGAUCUGGCCUCAGGUGGCUGAAACACACAGGGUUGAAAUGCUGCGGUGCCUGCGCUCAUUGUGCGGUGAAGCCAUAGAGUCCGCGCUGAAACCCGGGGCGCCCGCCUCCUGUCCGCGCAGGCGCUGCACGCUGUCGCCGGGGCAGCUUCACUCAGCUUCAGCCUCUCCAUCUGCAGAGGAGGAGUAAUCCCGUGCUGCCUCAUGGGGCCGUUUCAAGAAGGAAAUGAGAUGUGGUAUAAAGUGUUAGAGGAGUAUUUAGUGUUAUUAUUAAUGUGUUUUCUCAUCUGGGAACAUGAUUUGCAUUUUAAGCAGAACUUCAACAUUUGGACUCAAAGGAGUGAUGUGGAUGGGGAGAAUUUCAGGCAUCGUGCAGGCUGGCAUUAGAAAUGCUCACCGGAAAUGGAGCACAGGCAGCAACUUCAGCCCCUAGAAUUCUUCCUCCUAUGUCACUUCCGUCCCUCAAACCCUUUCUGCAGCCCCUGUCCUCUCUCCUGCAAUGGCAGUGAGCAGGUGGUCUCCUGGUGUCUCUGGAAAAUUCCCAUAUGGAGUCCUGGUUGAGAUGAGCCAGAAGGCUAGGAAGGAGCCUACAGUCCCGGUCUCAGCGCCCAGGAGGUUUUUCUAAUGGAGUUGGCAUGCAGAAGCUGGGGCAUACCCUGGGAGCAGCCCUGUGGCUGGAUGAGGGAUGGACAGCAGCACUGGGCGGGUGGAGCCGGGUGCGAGGUCCCCACAGCCUGCCUCCCAGUCCCACUGGCCAGCCCGGGGAGGGUGCUGAAGACAGGCUUCCUCUCUGGUCAAGCUCUGGCUAGCUUGGCAAGUGCAGGCAGGACCCUGGACCUGCCAUAUGGUGCACAUUUUGAGGACAUCAUUAGCAGGUUUGGAAGGUUGUGAUUCUGGUUGUGGGAGAGAAGGAACCUGGGAGUUGAGCAGGUGGUGGGUGGAGCUAUGCAUGCAACUGAGUGUGAGGAGUGCUUUGGCCAUGCUAGGGUCUCCUCUGGGCUGGAAGCCUUGUCUUCAAGAGGGUUGGGGUAGGAGGCUUUUUAUUAUAGUGGGAAGCCUCAAGCCUGGACCUGGGAAAACACUUUCUGGGUAUGAGGAAUUAAAAUAAACCUUGAAGCACUAUUUAGGAAGAACAUAGUAUCACUUCAUAGAUAUUUUCCCCCCUAAAUGGUUACAAAGUAAAAUGGCAGAGGUACAAAGAGGAAAAUGAAAACCACCCAAUCCCUUCCCUGAGCGAUGGCCCUGUUAUCCUUGGGCUCUGUGGCCAUCUGACCUCUCUCUGGGGACAGAAGUACAUGAGGAGAGGGGCCACUUCAUAAGACGGAGAUGCUCUCUUCCUGUUCCCUGCCUCUGCAUCGUGCUGGGGAUGUCUGUCCUCAUCAACUAAGAGACCCAUGUAGACCGCAGCUCUGAGAUCUUCUAUUUUUGUAAACAGAACAGUUUGUAGGGAGAUGUGAGAUGUUAGGUGGUGCUGGAGAGCCUGGGCUUUGUCUGUUUGGACAAGGCUCCAUCAAGGCAUCCUUUGUCCGACGGUGAGGCAUCUUGAGGGCUCUGGACCCAGAGCUGGUCCUGCAAGAGUCCUGUCUGAGAGCCCAGGCCCCACUCCACUAGGAGGGACAGGAGGGAACAGAGCAGAGCUGAGUCCCUUCACCUACCCAAACCCAUACAUGUUUCUAGAGCAGAGUAACUGCUUGUGAAACAGACCAUCAGAGCACAGGGCAGCACCGAGCUGCGUUCUGCAGGGCUCGGUCUAGGUGAUCUGGAGGGCUUGGGGAGCUGGCUUCUCCCCUCAUCCAGCAUGUAGCUACCCACAGCCACCUGCAUUUCACAGGGCCAGUGCCUAGGGACAUUGGGCCAGAAGCCAGAAUUUCUUUUUUCUUUUUUUUUUUCCCCUCUAGCAUUCACUACUAGCGCAAGCUAGUGCAUCCCAAAGUUUUGGCCCUGCGUGGAUAAUCAAUCCACAAUUUAUCUUCCGUCUGUUGCCAAAGUAAUUUAGCUAAAAUGCAGAUCUCAACUGGUCACUUCCCUGCGUAAAAGCUUCAAUAGCUUUCUAUCGCCUACAGGCAAAAGUCCCUCUUCUGAAAAGCGGCUUGCAAAGCCCUAGUAGCUGGCUCCAUGCCCCCCAGCAAUACGUGGCCUCCUCAGACGCAUCUUCUAGCAAAGGAGAGCUGCUCAGUGACAUCCACAAACCGAGCUGCUUCUCACCUACCUGUUUUCCUUCUCUUUGGGAUGCCCCCCGCCCUCACCUUCUGCUUCUGGCUAACUCCUAGGCAUCCUUGAAGGCUUGGCUCAGUAUCCUCUCCUCCAGGAAGCUGUCCCUCACCUUCUCUCCUUUCCCUCCAUCCCAGUCACCAUGCACCACACCCAUAUCCCCAUUGCAUCCUGCAGCUACCUUGUGCCUGCACACGUUGGGCUGGGCAUGCAUCUCCUUCUCUCUCAAGACCUGGAUCCCUUCACUUUGUGUCUCUGGACCCCCCAGUGUGCUGAUAAUGGGGUUGGAACCCAUCAUAUUUCUCUUGAACGAGUUAAUGAUGGGACUGCUAUUUCUCUAACUGUUGCCUUGGAGGCCCUGUCACGUGCUCAUGGAAGAGAGCCAGGGGGGUGGAGGUGAUUCUUGUUACCCAGAGGACGUGGGGUCUGGAUACACGUUUCUGCCAUCUGCCAUCUGCCAGCUUCUUUCUGGUUGGUAGCUUUGGAGCCUGGUGCAGCUGGGGCCAGUCCCGAGCCUGGACUCUGCUGGGCAGUGGCAAGAGCACUGUCUGGAGCUCUCCUGAGGAGCCCACAGAUCCAACUCCCUAGGCCAAGGCUGCAGCCUGGGGCAGAGAUGCAGAGGCCUGGAGGAGCCUAGGGCACGCGGCCUGCGGGCUGGCUGGGGUUCAGAGUUCGUAUGUGUGUGGAGUGACUGGGCAGGUGUUCAGAAAUGAAGGCUGGCACUGCCAGGUAAGGCCCUUCCCUCCCUGAUGUGAGAGCCCUGGAGCCACCGCAGAGGCCCAGUCAGAUCUCUGUUCUAAUUCUGGCCUGGUGUGGAGGAUGAGGAGAGACGGCCCAGAAAGGAAGGCAGACUGUGCAGACCCCAUGUCUUCUGGCCCGCGAGGCCCUCCUCCUGUGCCUGCUUAUCUUAAAGAAUCCGGGAUAAGAGGUGACUUGGGCCUUGGCCGGGAGGCCCCUCCUCAGCUUCAGACAAGGAGGGAGCUCUGGGCAUGAGGACAUUGAGCAAGAGGCGAUGGCAGUGCCCACAACUUACCCUCAGCUCGGCUCUGUUGGGUCCGAGAAGUUGCAUGGAAAGGGCUCCUUGGGGGCCAGUUGUCAGUAAGCUGCAGAAGCCUGGAGCCGGCCAGGAAAUAACCACGUGUAGGAGCCUUCUCAGCUGAGAGGAAGGAGGACUCACGCGCGGCGAGCACAUGCUUGGAGCCAGGCACAGGUUUGAACUAAGCUAUUUCAUCUCGAUUCUUAUGACAAGCUCCACGUAGUUUGCUCCUAUUUUACAGAUGUGGAAGCUGAGGCUCAGAGAGGUUAAGCGACUUGUCCCAAAUCGCAUUGUCAAUCAGUGAAGGGGCUGGGAUUUGAGCUAGUCACCUGCCUCUAGGUUCAGUGUGCUUUCUACUCUGCUCCCCUCCAUGCCUGCCCGACCCUUUGCUGAUGACACAUUCCUGAGACCUCAAAGGAGUCCUACUUUGAAUCAUGAAUGGCCUCGCGUUUCCCCAGAGGGCAUGACGCAAGCUUCGCCACCUCACUCCCACCCUCACCACUGGCUGGUUGCUCUUAGGAAGAUGCUGUUUACAGGAUCACGCAGUGGUUCAGGCCACCACGAUGCCACUUCCCCUGCUCUUAACCCCCCACCAAACUGCAGGUGGCUUCCCUGGGAGACUCGGGGCAACACCCUCUCGUCCUGUAUGAAGCUUGUACCUUUCUCCACCCAAGUGAGUGACAGCUGGCGGGAGUUUUGCACUGUGGAACAGGGUACACAAAGACACUGGAGUGAGAAGGCAGGGGCAUGGCCAGUCUAUGUCUAGGAGGUGGUGGCUCCACCUUCCUUGUGGACUCAGCUUUGGAGUCAUGCAGGCUGCUCUCUGGGCACUCCUGUGAGCCAUUUCUUCUGCUGAUAGGGAGGAACGUCCCACUGCCCCAAGAUGGGUUCUGUGCAGAGUCUCCCCAGGGUCAAGACAGGAGCUAGAAUGUAUGUCAUAGAAGGAUGAUCUAAAUGGUGACUUCUGGCUGGUGAGGAGAGGCUAUGGCACCUCCACGGCUGGUGGCCUCUUGCUGAAGUAAGCAUGGUCAGCAUCCCCCCUGCACCCUGUGGAGGUGGCUUAAUGCAUUCCCUUGACUGCAAAGGACUCCUUGCCAAAGAGACCUUCUUCCCCAUGAGGCUGAGGCCUCCUAGGACCCUCAGUGCUCAGGAAAUUAUAACCAGCCACCCCCAUCUCCAUUCAUUGGAGAAGGAGUGACGGCCGCCUCAGUGCCAUUAACUCUGUGCUGUGAUUAAAUGGAUCCCAAGGAGACUCCUGCUCAGGGACACCCCCUGUAGGACUGAUGCCAGGGCUAGGCUUGCCGCACAGUGCUCUAUUCCUUUGGUUAUGCACCUUCCUUGGCAGAAUCCACGCUUACCAAGAGGAGUCACUCUGAGCUGCUUGCUGCCAGUCACAUGCUUAGCAGUAGAAGAUAUCUUGUGCUUGUCAGGUGACUGUGAGUGAGAGGGAAGGGGGCCCAGCGUGAAGCCAGGUGGGACGGCUUCUGCGGGGCAAGACACCCCACUGGAGGAGGCAGGGGCGCGCUGUGCAGGCCUCAGCACCAGCUCUGGCUGCUGUGGUGGGAUCUCAGAUCAGUCACUUUGCCUUUUUGGCCUCAGUUUUCUCAUCUGUACAUCAUGGAUUUGGGAUUAAAGGAUUUCUGAAGAUUUUACUCAUUCUGAGAUUAUGGUCCCUGGAAACCUUUAGGGAAAAGGGAGCUUCUUCUCUUCAUUAUUUUAACAUACUUGAUCUUUUAUGUUCUUUGGUAGGGAGAGAUGAUAGGUAGUUAGAGAAGAAGCAGCUCAGUGAAAAAGCUGAAAGCCUUGUGGAAAAAUAAGUUAAAUUGACCCACUGUGACUCCAGGGACCUGGGGAGACUUUGAUGUCCGUGUUUUUGAUUACACAUCUCUUCUCUCAGAGUGAAGAUGCGCAGUUCUAAGGAAUUAUGCCCAAUGGCAGAAUUGGCAAGGGACAGGGAACUGUCCAGCAGAGAAGCUGCUGAAACCCUUCAGGGAACAUUCCAUUCCGCCAGGGCCCGGCUCUCACGCUCUGCUCUGCAGCGCAUCCGGUGCCAAGGAGGGGAGUAGCGAACGUUGACCUUGUCCCUAAGGAGCUUACACGCAGGGAGGAGGAAGGAGAGGAAUGGAGAGGGGAGAAACGGGAAGGUACUUCACACUGAUUAAGCAAGCUCCUCACAGGGCUAUGACUUCUCCCUUCUCAGAAGGAGGUGCCCUGUGGCAUGCCUCUAGGCCCAGAGUUAAAGAGCUGGAGCCAUUAGGAGCAGCAAGGGGCUGCCUCCCCACUUGUCUGGUUACUUCUGGUUACUUCUCCCUCAGGGUAAGUCCUCAUGAGGGAUCAUCUCUGCCCAUGGAGCUGCUUCCGCUGCCCUUAGGCUGGUGUAAGAGGAAGGCUGUGUACCAGAGGUAGAUCUUGCUCCUAGUCCACCAGCAAAACACAUCCAGUUAUUUCUAUGCCUCAGUCUCCCUUCCCCACACUGAUCUCUUUAUUCCCCUACUACCUAGAAAUGGAAGGGAGACAAUGAGGUGGGAAAUAGAGUUUUUCGAAAGGUGUUUUUUGGAUAAGACAAAGGCCUCUCAGAGCAGAGCUGGCCAUUGGAAUGGUUUCCUUUUGUUAUUUAAUACCGGGGCUUUCACACAGGAGUUUAGCCCAGCUUUUAAGUCUUCAGUAUCAAAUAGUAGUUGGUGUCACAUCCCUGCUGAAAUACAGCCAUGAAAAUGUUUCUUAGUGAUAGAUUUAGGUUGUACUCCUUAAGAAAAGCCCAAAUGUCAAGAAUUGCUUCCCACUGGUACACUUUAUUGGGGAGAAGGGCAUCUCAAAUAGAAGGAUGGUUGGUCUGUCUAGAAAUGGUAAGAAUACUACAGGUUAAAGGCAGUGGUGGUCUGGACUAAAUGACCCCUGAAACUCGGAUUUUAUGGUGUUUUCAAUCUCUGGCUGAGUACAGGUUCCUCCCUCUCCCUUUGUGCCUCCUUGGGGACCUGGGCUAUUUUCUCCUCCGUGAAAGAGAAUGGAUACAUCCAUUAUGAAAACCAAUUGAUAUAAUUUGAGCCUGCAUGCAGGUAAAAACUAUAUUAAGAAGGUUUAUAAAAUCUAACCUUCUGGCUUAACAAGCUGAUUCUCAAAGUGGCCUCUCAGACCCUGGCUGAGGGAUGGUGGUCAGGGGUUGCAGAGGGACCCGCACAGCUGCUGAGGAGGCUGUGGGACAGGAGGCGCUAUCACUGUCUACCUCUUCCAUCCAUGCACCUGUGUGCAGGUGUGAGAAGGGCACCGUGCUGCAAAGAAGGGUCCUUUCCACCCUCUGCGGGUUGCUGCCGGCUCCCCGAUGCCUGCCUCUGAGGCCUGAGCCUGGGGCUGGGGAGUGUGCUGGCCUCACCUCUGGAGGAUACUGCCUCAGUGUUACAGCCUGACCCCCCACCUUGUCAUCACUGCCUACUACAGACCAGAGGGGACGGCCACAGAGACUCUGCAACCAUGGGCUCUGCCCUUCUUCCUUCUGCCUGUGUAUCUGUGAAAAACUUUUUUUUUUUUAAAUGGAGAAAGCUACCUUGACUUCUCAGAGAGUUGAAUGGGGUCAGGGGAUAGAAUCUAUAUUUUUUAGUUAUGGGCACUUACCCAUAUUCAAAAAGAUUUGAGGAGGCUGGCAGAAUGGAGCUGGGAGAAGAAAACCCUCCCCUGGGAGGAAGCUGUCCUGUGCAUGUUGGCCAGGCUGCCUCUUUGAUUAGGGACAAUGGAAACCGGCCUGAGGGCACGGGUGAAAGCAGUUGAGUGUAGAGGAGGCUCUGCAGCAGAAGCCAGAGGACACAGGAGCCAGUGAAGACACACAAUAAGUCAGAAAGGAGGGAUCUUUGCAGCCCCAAAAGUAGAAAUUCUUACCAUCUACUGCAAAGAGCAAAAGUUGAAAAUUGGUCUGAUUUCUAUCUAAAUGUGCUUACAUAUUCGUGUUCUGUUAAAUACUUCUGUAACCUGUGUGUCUCACAUAAAUGCAGCUUUCUUUAGUUUUGGAAAUAAAUCACAUGAAUCCUGAAUAGUAGUCUUUAAUAAUUUGCUUAGUUGUAGGGCAGUGUUGUGUUUUCAGAAGGCAAGUGUAUUUGCUAGAAGAGUGAGCUGGGAGGUGUGAACCACAUCGUCACAUCUGCUGUAAGCCUAGCCGUUCAUAAUACGGAGUUACAGUUAGGACACGUCGCCCUGAAGAGCUACCAUCGAAUGUGUGCUCAUCAAAUGCCUGGCAGCGUCCUCGGUGCUUCACCUGCCAUAGCCGACAGUGGCUGACCUCCCAUGCCUGUUGCCUUUUCUUUCUGUUGGAUCAGGGAUACACUGCCAUGUGUGUUAAGAAAAGCUGGCCUUACCUACAGGGCUGGCCAGUCCCGGUCACGUUUCUAGUAAGCCAUUGCCUUACAUAAGGGUAACGGCAUGGGACGCUAUCUUAGCCAAUGUGAUAAAAGUGGACAUGAGGUGAGAGGCUUCAGAGAGAGGUUUUAAAAAAGAGACAAAAGCAGGACGUUGCCUCUCUUCCUCCUCUCCACGUGUCCUACCCGGAUGUGAAGCCAAAACAGAUGCAGGCUUAGUGCAACCAUGGGGAACCCAGCAUAAGCACAGAUUCAACAGCAGAAGAGUGGCAGAGGGAGAAGGUGAAAGGAACCUAGGUUUUCCUGUCCUUGUUGAGUCAUUCAGUUAAAAAUCCCUGGAAUUUUCCUCUCUCCGGCAGUGUGUUUUGUGGGAUAAUGAGUUGCCUUAUUGGGGUUGGCUUGCUAGUCGGGAUGUUUCGCUCCCAUCAACAUCCAUACGCUUGCUCUGUGAACCAAUGACCUGAUGAGGUAGUAUUAGCACCACCAUCAUUAUGCUGAGGAUGAGAUUUAUGGCACAGUGGUUCAGUAGCUUGCCCAAGGCCAUGCGGCUGGUAGGUUCUGGAGGAGGGCUCAGGGCACCCCCUGAGCUACCCCUGCUGGCCAUUGCACCACCCCAUAAAGCUGCUGGCAGUCACUUCUCUGAGGGGUUAGCAUGUAAGAAAUGUCCUCCUGAAUGCUGGCCAGACAAAUGGAAAUCUGCCAGGGUUGGGUACCCCCAUGACAGCAGCCAGCCUGCCCUCUUAGUCCCUGACAGCUGCAGUGACAGCAUCUGUGAUUGCAAAGCGUGACAAUUUAUAUCUCUCAUUUCAUCACACCAUCUAUCAGCAGACAGUCAGGCUUUAAAAAUCAAUCCCACACUGACUCAGUCCCCAGCAGAGAUGGCCUCUGACAACAGUAUCCACACUGCAGGCUGGACAAGGGCCCUAUUAAUUUUGAGACUCAGCCAAAUUUCCUUCUGACCCUAAGCUGGUGAAUCCCUGCUCCUUUGCUUUGGUUGGGGUUGGUGUGAGCUAAGGCUGUGAUCCCAUUUGCUCCUAUGGCCUCCAGGUGGCCUGGGCCUCCAUGAAUGGGCCACAUGGUCAUACUGAAUGCUUGAUUACACUCAGACCUAGCAGUCGUCUGGGCGCAGCUGGUUUAUGGAUCACUUUGUCACAAUGUUCCAUCCUUCCAGGUCCCCAUCCCCGCGGUGGGAAAACAUUGCUUUAGGCAGUGCUAGAGGACUUCAGCAGGCAUUGGCAGCUUCUGGAUUCAGGAUUAGAACAAAGAAGGAGGAGUCACAGCAAAGAUAGGAACAGAAGGCAGAGAGAACAGACAGAUGGGGGUGUUUGAGAAGGAGGGCCUUUGAGACCUCAGGGAGUGGGAGACACUGGCUCGAGAAUAAUAAUAAUGGCAAUUUCUCUCAUCUGUGUUUUCAGGGCAUGGACUGGAACUCCCAAUACCCCUGACAUGGGCUGAGUCAACGUGGUCAUGAACAUGUGACAGGAGGCAGCAGAAGUUGCAGAGAAGAGUGAGGCACGUUUGAAAAAGGCUGAAAAAUGUUUCUGUCCAGGCAAGGGUGUGUGCUGAAUGACUCAAGGAUUUUUUGGGCAACACAAACCAACACGAGCCGUGUGAGGAUCAGGUGACAGCUGCCCAAAAGCUGACACAAGGAACAAGCCUGGAGGAGUGAGGAUGGGUGCUGUGAAGGAGGUUGUGCAGCUGGGCCCGCAGUCGGACCUGGUGAGAUCAGAGGAGGGGGUGCCACCAGUCUGUGGACGAAGAUGAGAAGCUGGAAUAGAGCAGAAAACAGGAGGCUGCCACUCUCCAUCUUUCCCAAAGUCACUCCAGGAGCAAGGGUGUCAUUUACUGAAAUGACAGACUCUCCAUUUCACAUUUUUCCCCCAAGUGCAGAGUGCAGGGAAGCAGAUGGGCUAAAUUUUUAGAGUCAGGGUUAUUAAUGUAUACUUUACAUAGUAAACUUUCCCCUUUUAAGUGUGCAGGCCUGAGGUUUGCCAAAUAUGUGUAGGCAUUUAAUCACCACCACGAUCAAGAUGUAGAAUAUUCCCACUAUCAAAAAGUUUGCUGUGUCCCUUGAUGGUCAUGCCCCAUUCCACAGCCCCAGCCCCAGCCCCUGGAGAUUGCUGUCUGCUUUAUGUUCCAGUGGUUUUAUCUUUUCCAGACUGUAUGGAUGUGAAUGGAAUCAGAUGUGAUUCCAAGGUGUUUUAUCUUUUCCAGAUGUGAAUGGAAUCAGAUGUACGAAAUCCUAUGGUAGGGGGUCUUCUGAGUCUAGCUCCUUUUGUUUAGCGUGAUGCAUUUGAAAUUAAUCCAUGUCUCAGGCAUCAGGAGUUCAUUUCUUUUUCUGCUGAGUAGUAUUUCAUUGUAUGGAUGUACUGCAAUUUGCCUAUCCAUUCACCUGUUGAUGUACAUUUGAGAUUUUUGGCAAUUAUGAAUAAAGCUGCUAUAAACAGACAUGGAUUUUAUGUAGACACGUCUUCAUUUCUGUUGAGUAAAUAACAAGGCAUGAGAUUUCUGGGCCAUAGGGUAAAUGUGUGUUUCACUUUAUAAGAAACUGACAAGCUGUUUCCAAAGCGGUUGCUCCAUUUUGCAUUGUGUGAGCGUUUUAGCUGUUCUGCGUCCUUUCCAGCACCUGGUGUGCCCAUUUAAAAGACUUCAGCCACUCUCAAUAGGUGUGUAGGACUGGACUUAAAUUUAAAUUUGAGAGGCAUCAGUAUGUGUGUGUGUGCCUUUCACACCUCCACAGUCACCGGCCACAUGCACUCGUAAGGAGUGAACACACACAGCAGCUGGGAAAGGUCUGAGCAAAGGGCCAUGGGCAGGGCACCCAGCUAGACAGAAGGAAAUCAAGGACCGUGCUCUAUGGUCCAACCAAGAAAGGAUUUUAAAAAGAGAGAGUGAGCUAGUGGCCAAUUGUUGCUGAAUGCCUGCAUAUGAUAAAGAGUGAAAAUUGAGCACUGGAUUUAGAAAGAUGGUGGUUUUUGUUGACCUUGACAAGAGCAGUUCCAGGGUUGCAGCAGUGAUGAGACCUGCAUGAGAGGGAGUUCAGGAGGGCAGGGACUUGGGCGAUGGGACUGGCUCCUCAUCCAAGAUAGGGCAGUGGAGUCUGCAGGCUGUGUCUCCAAUUUUCUCCUUUCUCCUUAGUAAUAGAAAUCUAAAUUUAUUUAG